rnacentral:rRNA from 1 species
UUGGAGGGCAAGUCUGGUGCCAGCAGCCGCGGUAAUUCCAGCUCCAAUAGCGUAUAUUAAAGUUGUUGCAGUUAAAAAGCUCGUAGUUGAAUUUCAGGCCUGGCUGGACGGUCCGCCCUUCGGGUGAGUACUGUCUGUGGUCGGGUCCUACCUUCUGGCGAAGCGUCAUGGCCUUAACCGGCCGUGGCGGGGAACCAGGACUUUUACUGUGAAAAAAUUAGAGUGUUCAAAGCAGGCAAAUCGCUUGGAUACAUUAGCAUGGAAUAAUGGAAUAGGACAAUGGUUCUAUUUGUUGGUUUCUAGGACCGUUGUAAUGAUUAAUAGGGAUAGUUGGGGGCAUUAGUAUUCAAUUGUCAGAGGUGAAAUUCUUGGAUUUAUUGAAGACUAACUACUGCGAAAGCAUUUGCCAAGGAUGUUUUCAUUAAUCAAGAACGAAAGUUAGGGGAUCGAAGACGAUCAGAUACCGUCGUAGUCUUAACCAUAAGCUAUGCCGACUAGGGAUCGGACGAUGUUAAAUUUUAUUGACUCG